rnacentral:rRNA from 1 species
AUUGAACGCUGGCGGCAUGCCUUACACAUGCAAGUCGAACGGCAGCACGGGAGCAAUCCUGGUGGCGAGUGGCGAACGGGUGAGUAAUACAUCGGAACGUGCCCAAUCGUGGGGGAUAACGCAGCGAAAGCUGUGCUAAUACCGCAUAAGAUCUAUGGAUGAAAGCAGGGGACCGCAAGGCCUUGCGCGAAUGGAGCGGCCGAUGGCAGAUUAGGUAGUUGGUGAGGUAAAGGCUCACCAAGCCUUCGAUCUGUAGCUGGUCUGAGAGGACGACCAGCCACACUGGGACUGAGACACGGCCCAGACUCCUACGGGAGGCAGCAGUGGGGAAUUUUGGACAAUGGGCGCAAGCCUGAUCCAGCCAUGCCGCGUGCAGGAUGAAGGCC